UACGGAGGGGGCUAGCGUUGUUCGGAAUUACUGGGCGUAAAGCGCACGUAGGCGGCUUGGUAAGUUAGAGGUGAAAGCCUGGAGCUCAACUCCAGAAUUGCCUUUAAGACUGCCGAGCUAGCAGGUGAGAGAGGUGAGUGGAACUCCGAGUGUAGAGGUGAAAUUCGUAGAUAUUCGGAAGAACACCAGUGGCGAAGGCGGCUCACUGGCUCAUACUGGACGCUGAGGUGCGAAAGCGUGGGGAGCAAACAGG
rnacentral:rRNA from 1 species